GGAGUUUGGACCGUGUCUCAGUUCCAAUGUGGGGGACCUUCCUCUCAGAACCCCUACUGAUCGAUGGCUUGGUGGGCCGUUACCCCGCCAACAACCUAAUCAGACGCAUCCCCAUCCCUUAGCGACAAGUCUUUGGUUCAAAUCAGAUGUCCUCUUCGAACAACAUAGGGUAUUAAUCCGACUUUCGCCGGGCGUAUGCCCUACUAAGGGGAAGGUUGGAUACGCGUUACUCACCCGUGCGCCGGUCGCCAGCAUCAAUAGCAAGCUAUCGAUCUGCUGCCCCUCGACUUGCAUGUGUUAAGCCUGUAGCUAGCGUUCAUCCUGAGCCAGGAUCAAACUAC
rnacentral:rRNA from 1 species